rnacentral:rRNA from 1 species
GUCGAGAAUCUUUCACAAUGGGGGCAACCCUGAUGGAGCGACGCCGCGUGGAGGAUAAGGUCUUCGGAUUGUAAACUCCUGUCAUGCGUGAACAAGGUUGCUUGGUUAAUACCUGGGCAAAUUGAUGGUAACGCAAGAGGAAGAGACGGCUAACUCUGUGCCAGCAGCCGCGGUAAUCCAGAGGUCUCAAGCGUUGUUCGGAAUCACUGGGCGUAAAGGGUGCGUAGGUGGCGUGGUAAGUCAGAUGUGAAAGCCCGGGGCUCAACCUCGAACUGCAUCCGAUACUGACAUGCUAGAGUACUGGAGAGGUGACUAGAAUUCUCGGUGUAGCAGUGAAAUGCGUAGAUAUCGAGAGGAAUACCAAAGGCGUAGGCAGGUCACUGGACAGUUACUGACACUGAGGCACGAAGGCCAGGGGAGCGAACGGGAUUAGAAACCCUAGUAGUCC